GUGCUCACUUCAGCAGCACACAUACACCAGAAUUGGAACAACACACAGAUUGACAUGGCUCCUAUGAAAGGAUGACACACACAGUCAUGAAGCGUUCUGUAUUUUA